rnacentral:rRNA from 1 species
CCUACGGGAGGCAGCAGUAGGGAAUCUUGGACAAUGGGGGCAACCCUGAUCCAGCCAUGCCGCGUGAGUGAAGAAGGCCCUAGGGUCGUAAAGCUCUUUCGCCUGUGAUGAUAAUGACAGUAGCAGGUAAAGAAACCCCGGCUAACUCCGUGCCAGCAGCCGCGGUAAUACGGAGGGGGUUAGCGUUGUUCGGAAUUACUGGGCGUAAAGCGCGCGUAGGCGGAUUGGAAAGUUGGGGGUGAAAUCCCGGGGCUCAACCCCGGAACUGCCUUCAAAACUCCCAGUCUAGAGUCCGAGAGAGGUGAGUGGAAUUCCGAGUGUAGAGGUGAAAUUCGUAGAUAUUCGGAAGAACACCAGUGGCGAAGGCGGCUCACUGGCUCGAUACUGACGCUGAGGUGCGAAAGUGUGGGGAGCAAACAGGAUUAGAUACCCUGGUAGUCCACACCGUAAACGAUGAAUGCCAGUCGUCGGAUAGUAUACUAUUCGGUGACACACCUAACGGAUUAAGCAUUCCGCCUGGGGAGUACGGUCGCAAGAUUAAAACUUAAAUGAAUUGACGG